rnacentral:lncRNA from 1 species
UUCAAACCCACAUCUGACUGAAUCUAAUUCCACCUACAGCUUUGAAGGCUCAGAAAACAUAACUGCUUGAAAAACUGAGUUAACUCUAUGACUGCCAGGACAAAAGCUUAGGAUUUAGAAAUGAAACAAUGAAUAAGUAGACAUUUUGCUCUCAUUUUGUUAUUUUUUACUUUAUUUUCCAAAUAUGUUUAGGUUAAAGAAAAGAACAUGGGAUUUAGAGUCAAAUAGGCAGGUGUUUUGAUUCUACCCUUGCUAACCCUGUGACCUUUGGACAGCCUACGUUGUCCAGUGGAGGCAGCCUUCCCAUUCCAACGGACAUUUGUGGGAUAUUAGAGACCAAGAAGUGUUAAGAGAUGAUCUUCACAAAAUGCUGAGCUUGUGUGGGUGUCGAACUACAAACAGGAGGAGAUGGAUAUUCACAUGCAGUGGUGGAGGGUUAUGGCUCUCCAGCCUGGAGGAUUGGAGCUUGAGCCAGGUGAACAGUGGGUCCAUUAAAGGGGCAGCUCAGUUCAGCAAGUCAGAGCCUGAACAGGAUGAAAGGGGCAACCCACAAAGAUGAGGACUGAAUUGGAGUUACAGAUCCCAGUUGGUUGGAGAGACCAUUUUCCUGGAGGAUGACCCAGUUUGGGAGUCACAGCCAGAGCUGGGAUAAAAGAUAAUCCACACUCUUUUGGAUAUAAUAUGUAUUAUAAUUUCUUUUUUCUCUCAAGUAGUUUAAAAGUUUUACACUGUUUUCAUUAGUCACUAAUAGAAACAUAUACAAUAGUUUUCUGCAUUCCAUCAAGCUUAAUAUUAACAGAUAUGUUUACCCAUCUCCUGAACAUUACAAAUAUCUUAGAAUAUUAACCUCUCUUAGGAUUAGUUCUAUUCAAAUGCAUGGAUUACUUUGCUGUGUAAUUCCAAGACUCCAUGAUAUUGAUAAUACUCUAUAAUAAAGUUAAAUUUUCUCAGAUUUAUCCACAUAUUUACCACUUUCUUUGAUCUUUAGACUAAAGCAAUUUUAAAUACCAGGCUUACUUUUCUUUAUUCUAAGCUGGAAAUGCAUUUUUUUUGUAGAUUUUCAGUAAUCCCUUGUUAUAUCAUUAACUCUUUGAUCCGUUUUAACAUGCAGUUUUCAUCCAUCCUUUUUUUGUUGUUAUCUUUGAGAGAAUUGAUCAUAGUGACUAAGCUGCAAUACUAAAUUAGAGGAGUUUUAAAUCUUAAUAUAACUUUGGCAUAGUAAAAUAAUUUAAACAAUAAAAUGAGUUCAUAUUGUAUGCUUGCAUCUUAGCCUUUGACAUUACUCCUGUUUUAAUGAUGAAACUUUACCUUGAAAUGUCGCUAGUUUUUAUUUCUUUGUGUGUGUGUUUGUUUUAUUGAUCUUGCCAGUAAACAUCAUUAAACAUACUAUUUCAAACAUUAAAAUGUCUGCUGAAAGGCAUCUGACAAUUUAAAAGUCAGUGACAAAUUACUGAACUAAAACUUAAGAGAUGAUAUAAACAUGUAGAACUGAGCCUAGAAUUAGGGACUGCUUUUCUUAUCCUCUGAAAAGGGCACUAAGAACCAGAGAUGCUUAGCACCACUAACAACUUCAAGGUGCUAGAGCUUUUUUUUUUUUAUAAAAAAAAAAAAAAAAAAAAAAAAGGGAAUCCCAAGUCUUGUCAGUUUGAAGGCAGCUAGUAAAUUUUCCAUUUAUUUUAAGUUAGGACUCAAAAGACUUCCCCAUAAGUAAGGGUAACAGGUAGGUAGUGCUCUUACUAGAGCCUAUAUUAUAGCAAGGCUUAAAAUCAUCUCAUUUUGUGAAAUUAAAUUAAGGCAAGCCUUGAUUUCUGGUUAUACUGGGCACAUGACACAAAGGAACAUAAUCUCUUUCUGGAGGAGUAAGCGUCAUGAGAGUUCUCAAACUAUUCCCACAGUAACAACUGGAUUACUGUUAUGCACAUGUUAUUUUGCUUGAUGGUUUCCUCUUGGUCUCUGAGGCUCUAAGUUUUCUUUAUCCUUUUUUAUCUUUCUGCUCCUCAGAUCAGAUGCUGAUUAUUUCAUCAUCGCAAACAUGCUUUUGAGUUUUUCUACAGAUU